AACGUAGGUGGCGAGCGUUAUCCGGAUUUACUGGGCGUAAAGGGUGUGCAGGCGGGUGAACAAGUGGUGUAUUAAAGGUUUCGGCUCAACCGAGAUAGGUUAUGCCAGACUGUUUACCUAGAGUGUGAGAGAGGGACGUGGAAUUCCGGGUGUAGUGGUGAAAUGCGCAGAUAUCAGGAAGAACACCUAUGGCGAAGGCGGCUCUCUGGGACGGUACUGACGCUGAGACGCGAAAGCGUGGGGAGCGAACAGG
rnacentral:rRNA from 1 species